AUUGGACGCUGGCGGCAGGCCUAACACAUGCAAGUCGAGCGGAUGACGGGAGCUUGCUCCUGGAUUCAGCGGCGGACGGGUGAGUAAUGCCUAGGAAUCUGCCUGGUAGUGGGGGACAACGUUUCGAAAGGAACGCUAAUACCGCAUACGUCCUACGGGAGAAAGCAGGGGACCUUCGGGCCUUGCGCUAUCAGAUGAGCCUAGGUCGGAUUAGCUAGUUGGUGAGGUAAUGGCUCACCAAGGCGACGAUCCGUAACUGGUCUGAGAGGAUGAUCAGUCAAACUGGAAAUGAGACACGGUCCAGGCUCCUACGGGAGGCAGCAGUGGGGAAGAUUGGACAAUGGGCGAAAGCCUGAUCCAGCCAUGCCGCGUGUGUGAAGAAGGUCUUCGGAUUGUAAAGCACUUUAAGUUGGGAGGAAGGGCAGUAAGCGAAUACCUUGCUGUUUUGACGUUACCGACAGAAUAAGCACCGGCUAACUCUGUGCCAGCCGCCGCAGUAAAAC
rnacentral:rRNA from 1 species